rnacentral:SRP_RNA from 1 species
UGUUGGGCUAGGGGGAGUGUUGACGUGCUCUAUUUUACACAAAUCGUCGAUAAAGGUGUCCCGAAGUUCGAGGGCGGCUCAGACGAGCUUAUGGUGACCCACCAGUUGACGUCGAUGCUUCGCCCCCAAGAGAUGCAGGUUGGCAAAAUGUCAUUCCGAAGGGAAUGUCGGACUGUCUUACGCCCGGGAACCAGGUCAGGCGCGGAAGCGAGCAACCCGACCGGGGAUGCUGGAUGCCUUGGGAAUGCGGAGUGGAGGAGAUUGGUGAAUAUUCAUCAUUUGUGACGAGUGCCCACCGAGAACGUGCCCACUA